UGAUGUGGCGCAGCCUGACACCUGCCGCGUGAGUGACGAAGUCUUCGGAUUGUAAAGCUCUUUUGGCGGGGACGAUAAUGACGGUACCCGCAGAAUAAGCCCCGGCUAACUUCGUGCCAGCAGCCGCGGUAAUACCAAGGGGGCUAUCGUUGAUAAGAAAUUACUGGGCGUAAAGCGCACGUAGGCGGAUUUGUAAGUCAGGGGUGAAAUCCCGGGGCUCAACCUCGGAACUGCCUUUGAUACUGCAAGUCUCGAGACCGGAAGAGGUGAGUGGAAUUCCUAGUGUAGAGGUGAGAUUCGUAGAUAUUAAGAGGGGAGGACGGGGGGCGAACGCGGUCUUCACUGGUACAAGUUCUGACGCUGAGGUGCGAAAG
rnacentral:rRNA from 1 species